AAGAUUCUUUCUACUAUAUUUCACAAUCAUAUUGAUUAUUCUAAUCAUUAUUUUUGCACAAAAACUAUUUUUAAAAAAUAAAUAUAAAUGAAUUAUCCGAUACAUAAUAAUAUCUCCGGUCACAUAUUCCUACAUGUCCUAACAAAUUAACAAAACACACAAAAACGUCCGUUUAAUACAACGCGUGGAUUGUCGACCGCUCAAGGAACAAAUUAUUAAUCAGUUAAUUAGAUGGAGAAAUUUCCCUUCGGCAGCAGAUUAGUCGGAAGUCAAAAUAUUACCGCACUAGAAUCUGUCGAAGUUGGAAAUUUGGCCGUUCAAAAAUUGAAUUUUACGCAUACACGAAUUUUAGUAAA